AACGAACGCUGGCGGCGCGUCUUAAGCAUGCAAGUCGGACGGCAAGGGUAGCAAUACCCCUAGAGUGGCGGACUGGUGAGUAACGCGUGGGUGACCUGCCCUUGAGUUGGGGAUAGCCAUUAGAAAUAGUGGAUAAUACCGAAUACGAUCGCUGUCACUGUGGUGAUGCGAUGAAAGGAGCUACGGCUCCACUCGAGGAUGGGCCCGCGUCCCAUUAGCUAGUUGGUGAGGUAACGGCCCACCAAGGCGACGAUGGGUAUCCGGCCUGAGAGGGUGUACGGACACAUUGGGACUGAGAUACGGCCCAAACUCCUACGGGAGGCAGCAGCUAAGAAUAUUCCGCAAUGGACGAAAGUCUGACGGAGCGACGCCGCGUGGAUGAAGAAGGCCGAAAGGUUGUAAAAUCCUUUUGCUGAUGAAGAAUAAGUGGAGUAGGGAAUGAUUCCAUGAUGACAUUAGUCGGUGAAUAAGCCCCGGCUAACUACGUGCCAGCAGCCGCGGUAACACGUAGGGGGCAAGCGUUGUUCGGAAUUAUUGGGCGUAAAGGGCAUGUAGGCGGUUUUGUAAGCCUGGUGUGAAAUCCUGCAGCUUAACUGUAGAAUUGCAUUGGGUACUGCAAGACUUGAAUCACAGAGGGGAAACUAGAAUUCCAGGUGUAGGGGUGGAAUCUGUAGAUAUCUGGAAGAAUACCGGUGGCGAAGGCGGGUUUCUAGCUGAUGAUUGACGCUGAGGUGCGAAAGUGCGGGGAGCAAACAGGAUUAGAUACCCUGGUAGUCCGCACCGUAGACGAUGUACACUAGGUGUCGGGGCAUGAGUCUCGGUGCCAAAGCUAACGUGUUAAGUGUACCGCCUGGGAAGUAUGCUCGCAAGGGUG
rnacentral:rRNA from 1 species